AUCUUUUCUUCAAUCAAUCUUACAGAUGAGCUAUGCUUGCCAAGACAUCUAAUGAGUUGGUGUGCAUGCUGGGGUAAAGAGGGGUGAUAAGGGAAUUUUGGAAAGAAGGAAAGUACCCACUUCAGCAGGGCAGGAAAUGCAUAAAGCACAACCAGAUCACACUUGGAUUAUUGAUCGUAUGAAACCACUUUAAAUACAAGAUUUGAGGAGUUUUGGAGUCAGGACGAGACUGGGUUGAAUGGGUUGUCUUCCCGUUCAUACCCAUCCUGAAUCUGCUCAUCCAGGACAAUGGUCAUCCCAACUCCAGGAGGGAACCCAACUGGAGAACCAAGAAACAAACACAAUGAACACUGGACAUAUAUCCCCGCCAUAUGAAAAGAGCGCGGCUCCUCCUCACCAUGGGACCAUUAGACACCCAACAUUAUUUACAAGUCUAUGAGGAACAAGGUGCCCUUAGGUUUAUAUGAUAGAAGAAAAAUACAGGUAAUAAGGUGCAUUUUUCCUAAGUUAUACCUGUCCUGUUAUUAAUGCUGUAUUAUUUAUUUAUAUUUUAUUAUUCUCACUUUCCCAAUUUUUAUAUAAUGAACUUUUAGUAUCAGAAAAAAAUGUUACA
rnacentral:lncRNA from 12 species